GGGAGAAGAUUAAGGGAUUUUGGGGGUUAUCAGGAUUUUAUUUUAUUUUUUCCCAUAACCGAAUUUUGACUCUCUUUUAAAAAAAUUUUUUUUUGCUGUCUAUUCUUCUCACUCUCCUCUUGCCAAAAUUCUCUGGGUUUUUCCAUCUUUCUCUUCUUUUUCUUCUUCUUGAUUUUUUUCUAAUCCAUUUAUUUUCCUUCGUUUUCGCACGCGGUUAGUGCUCGCUUAGUUUCGGU
rnacentral:lncRNA from 1 species